rnacentral:rRNA from 1 species
UACGUAGGGUGCAAGCGUUGUCCGGAAUUAUUGGGCGUAAAGAGCUCGUAGGCGGUUUGUUGCGUCGGCUGUGAAAUCCCGAGGCUCAACCUCGGGUCUGCAGUCGAUACGAGCAAACUAGAGUGUUGCAGGGGAGACUGGAAUUCCUGGUGUAGCGGUGAAAUGCGCAGAUAUCAGGAGGAACACCAAUGGCGAAGGCAGCUCGCUGGAACGGUACUGACGCUGAGGCGCGAAAGCGUGGGGAGCAAACAGG